CUUGUCCCGGUGCUGCCUGUGCCCUGCUGCUUCUGCCAGAGCCUUGGGGACUGUCGGGCGCCCGCCACCUCCACAGAAGUGCCUGACACACUUUCCUGACCCCUCCAUCUACCCGGCGUGGACCGGACGCAUGGGAUGGACAGACCAUUGAUCACUUCUGGAGAGUUAACUGCAGAAUCCAAGACUCACUGAAAAAGCAACGGUGACUGUGAAGUUUAUCCUAGGAGCUGAACCACGGAGCAGAGGUCCACACCUGUGCCUUUGGAGAUGUGUCAGAUGAAUCCUGUUUCUGGAAAGCAGUUGCUUAUGCCAUUGGCCAGAGUCAAAAGCAUACAAGUGGCUACAGGCAGGUCAGGAGCCCUGCAAGGAGGGACCUGAAAAAUGUGCCAUUUUACCUGAGAAUCUGGAGAAGAGGAAAAGGCCUUGGGACUCUGCAUCUGCGUGGGAGACCUGGAGGAAGUUCCUGGCUCCUGGAUUCAGACGAGUGCAGCUCCAGCCACUGUG